rnacentral:rRNA from 1 species
GAUGAACGCUGGCGGCGUGCUUAACACAUGCAAGUCGAACGGAAAGGCUCCUGCUUGCAGGGGUACUCGAGUGGCGAACGGGUGAGUAACACGUGGGUGAUCUGCCCUGCACUUCGGGAUAAGCCUGGGAAACUGGGUCUAAUACCGGAUAGGACGAUGGUUUGGAUGCCAUUGUGGAAAGUUUUUUCGGUGUGGGAUGAGCUCGCGGCCUAUCAGCUUGUUGGUGGGGUAAUGGCCUACCAAGGCGUCGACGGGUAGCCGGCCUGAGAGGGUGUAUGGCCACAUUGGGACUGAGAUACGGCCCAGACUCCUACGGGAGGCAGCAGUGGGGAAUAUUGCACAAUGGGCGCAAGCCUGAUGCAGCGACGCCGCGUGGGGGAUGACGGCCUUCGGGUUGUAAACUCCUUUCGCUAGGGACGAAGCGCAAGUGACGGUACCUGGAGAAGAAGCACCGGCUAACUACGUG